GGCCAGACUCCUACGGGAGGCAGCAGUGGGGAAUAUUGCACAAUGGGGGGAACCCUGAUGCAGCGACGCCGCGUGGGUGAAGGAGUAUUUCGGUAUGUAAAGCCCUAUCAGCAGGGAAGAACAAUGACGGUACCUGACUAAGAAGCACCGGCUAAAUACGUGCCAGCAGCCGCGGUAAUACGUAUGGUGCAAGCGUUAUCCGGAUUUACUGGGUGUAAAGGGAGCGCAGGCGGCGCGUUAAGCCUGGUGUGAAAGCCCGGGGCUCAACCCCGGGACUGCAUUUGGAACUGUGUGGCUGGAGUGUCGGAGAGGCAGGCGGAAUUCCUAGUGUAGCGGUGAAAUGCGUAGAUAUUAGGAGGAACACCAGUGGCGAAGGCGGCCUGCUGGACGAUGACUGACGUUGAGGCUCGAAAGCGUGGGGAGCAAACAGGAUUAGAUACCCUAGUA
rnacentral:rRNA from 1 species